AAUGAACGCUGGCGGCAGGCCUAAAACAUGCAAGUCGAACGCCCUAGCAAUAGGGAGUGGCGCACGGGUGAGUAACAUGUGGGAAUAUGCCUUUUGGUACGGAACAACGUUUGGAAACGAACGCUAAUACCGUAUGGUCCCUCCGGGGUAAAGAUUUAUCGCCAAAAGAUUAGCCCGCACUAGAUUAGCUAGUUGGUAAGGUAAUGGCUUACCAAGGCGACGAUCUAUAGCUGUUCUGAGAGGAAGAUCAGCCACACUGGGACUGAGGCACGGCCCAGACUCCUACGGGAGGCAGCAGUUAGGAAUAUUGGACAAUGGGCGCAAGCCUGAUCCAGCCAUGCCGCGUGAGUGAUGAAGGCCUUCGGGUUGUAAAGCUCUUUAGCCGACGAAUAUAAUGACUGUAGUCGGAGAAUAAGCCCCGGCUAACUUCGUGCCAGCCGCCGCCGUAAGAC
rnacentral:rRNA from 1 species